rnacentral:rRNA from 1 species
UACGUAGGGGGCAAGCGUUGUCCGGAAUCAUUGGGCGUAAAGCGCGCGUAGGCGGCCCGGUAAGUCCGUUGUGAAAGUCAAAGGCUCAACCUUUGAACGCCGAUGGAUACUGCCGGGCUAGAGUCCGGAAGAGGCGAGUGGAGUUCCUGGUGUAGCGGUGGAAUGCGCAGAUAUCAGGAGGAACACCAAUAGCGAAGGCAGCUCGCUGGGACGGUACUGACGCUGAGGCGCGAAAGCGUGGGGAGCGAACAGG